GCUGGAUUAGCUCAGUCGGUAGAGCAGUUGAUUCGUAAUCAAAAGGUCGCAAGUUCGAUUCUUGUAUCCAGCACCA
rnacentral:tRNA from 5 species